UCCAAUUCAUAGUCUCAUAUAGACCAUUAUGUAACUUUCUCCACUCUCCAGGAUGUUUUACUUUGAAUCCUUUUUAACCACGACACUGCAGAGUAGAGAUUUAGUUGGUUCUUGGAACCUUUUCUUCCUAGCACAUUAGAAGUGUUACCUUAUUCCUCUCAUUAGAUGUCUUGAGCCGGCUUUAAAAAAUAAAUGCCCCACAUAUUUGGUAUUUAAUUACUUAUACACCUUCCUGUUAUAUCCUGUUAGCACUUUGAUUUGUUUCCACAUUUUGUUUGAUUGAGUAGUCUUGAGUUGUAGAAAUAUCACUACCAAGACUUAUCUUGUUCAGGUCUUUAAAGUGAAGACCAAGGAAAUCAAGCGGACAGUCCAGAGGAUAAAGAAGCAAGAAGAUUCAGUGUCCAUAUUUAUAUCGUAAAGAAUACAGUCCCUGUAGGUUGAGAAUUAUUUUGUCAAAUUUAGUUAUGAACUAACCUAGGUUUCUGUCAGUUAAUGCAAUGCUACGACUGUGAUAUAAUGCCAGCUGUAUGCUACUUUUGACUCCCAUCAGCCUGUUGCGCCAUACCAACUUCAUCAUAAAAAGACUUGCACAUUGGUUCUCAUGUUGUCUUCUAGUAUAUCUCUAGGUCAGACCAUUGGGCACGACAUAAUAUACAAUUCACAGAGCACACCUGGUUCUUCACAUGCUAGCUCACAAUCAAUCCAAAGUGAUGGAAUGGAUGGUGCUGGAACCAGUGCUGAUUGCAACAACAGUGCUAUGAAUGUGGAAAUCAAUGACACUGCUAUUGGCUUGGACCAACAAUGGGGGUCAACGUAGAUGGGGAGAAUGAAUCUGAUGAUGAUGGUGAAGCCGAUGAUCGAUGAUCCUAGUAGCAAUCUAGAGUGGUAUAUUUAUUUUGAUGCUUGAACCUAGUUGCAUAUGGUGAUGUAUGGACACAAAAUGAUGUGUACGACUUUUGUUGGUUUUGAUUUGGAUGAAUGCAAUGUCAUGCAUUUCUGGAACUUUUUAUAUAUA